CGCACGAGCGCACCCACGUUCUUUAGUUGCCAGCAUUUAGUUGGGCACUCUAGAGAGACCGCCGGUGAUAAACCGGAGGAAGGUGUGGAUGACGUCAAGUCAUCAUGCCCCUUACAUCCUGGGCUACACACGUACUACAAUGCUACGGACAAAGGGCAGCAAGUUCGCGAGGACAAGCAAAUCCCAUAAACCGUGGCUCAGUUCAGAUCGUAGGCUGCAACUCGCCUACGUGAAGGAGGAAUCGCUAGUAAUCGCAGGUCAGCAUACUGCGGUGAAUACGUUCCCGGGCCUUGUACACACCGCCCGUCACACCAUGGAAGUUGGCCACGCCCGAAGCCGUUACUCCAACCCUUGUGGAGGAGGACGUCGAAGGUGGGGCUGAUGACUGGGGUGAAGUCGUAACAAGGUAUCCGUACCGGAAGGUGCGGAUGGAUCACCUCCU
rnacentral:rRNA from 1 species